UGAAGAGUUUGAUCAUGGCUCAGAUUGAACGCUGGCGGCAGGCUUAACACAUGCAAGUCGAGCGGUAACAGGGGGUGCUUGCACCCCGCUGACGAGCGGCGGACGGGUGAGUAAUGCUUAGGAAUCUGCCCAGUAGUGGGGGAUAGCCCGGGGAAACCCGGAUUAAUACCGCAUACGUCCUACGGGAGAAAGCAGGGGAUCUUCGGACCUUGCGCUAUUGGAUGAGCCUAAGUCGGAUUAGCUAGUUGGUGAGGUAAAGGCUCACCAAGGCCACGAUCCGUAGCUGGUUUGAGAGGAUGAUCAGCCACAUCGGGACUGAGACACGGCCCGAACUCCUACGGGAGGCAGCAGUGGGGAAUAUUGGACAAUGGGGGCAACCCUGAUCCAGCCAUGCCGCGUGUGUGAAGAAGGCUUUCGGGUUGUAAAGCACUUUCAGUGAGGAGGAAAACCUUACGACUAAUACUCGUGAGGCUUGACGUUACUCACAGAAGAAGCACCGGCUAACUCCGUGCCAGCAGCCGCGGUAAUACGGAGGGUGCAAGCGUUAAUCGGAAUUACUGGGCGUAAAGCGCGCGUAGGUGGUUCGAUAAGCGGGAUGUGAAAGCCCCGGGCUUAACCUGGGAACGGCAUUCCGAACUGUCGGGCUAGAGUAUGGUAGAGGGUAGUGGAAUUUCCUGUGUAGCGGUGAAAUGCGUAGAUAUAGGAAGGAACACCAGUGGCGAAGGCGGCUACCUGGACCAAUACUGACACUGAGGUGCGAAAGCGUGGGGAGCAAACAGGAUUAGAUACCCUGGUAGUCCACGCCGUAAACGAUGUCAACUAGCCGUUGGGACUCUUGAAGUCUUAGUGGCGCAGCUAACGCACUAAGUUGACCGCCUGGGGAGUACGGCCGCAAGGUUAAAACUCAAAUGAAUUGACGGGGGCCCGCACAAGCGGUGGAGCAUGUGGUUUAAUUCGACGCAACGCGAAGAACCUUACCUGGCCUUGACAUCCAGAGAACUUUCCAGAGAUGGAUUGGUGCCUUCGGGAACUCUGUGACAGGUGCUGCAUGGCCGUCGUCAGCUCGUGUCGUGAGAUGUUGGGUUAAGUCCCGUAACGAGCGCAACCCCUAUCCCUGGUUGCUAGCAGGUAAAGCUGAGAACUCCAGGGAGACUGCCGGUGACAAACCGGAGGAAGGUGGGGAUGACGUCAGGUCAUCAUGGCCCUUACGGCCAGGGCUACACACGUGCUACAAUGGUGCGUACAGAGGGCUGCAAACUCGCGAGAGUAAGCCAAUCCCUUAAAACGCAUCGUAGUCCGGAUCGGAGUCUGCAACUCGACUCCGUGAAGUCGGAAUCGCUAGUAAUCGCGAAUCAGAAUGUCGCGGUGAAUACGUUCCCGGGCCUUGUACACACCGCCCGUCACACCAUGGGAGUGGAUUGCACCAGAAGUGGUUAGUCUAACCUUCGGGAGGACGAUCACCACGGUGUGGUUCAUGACUGGGGUGAAGUCGUAACAAGGUAGCCGUAGGGGAACCUGCGGCUGGAUCACCUCCUU
rnacentral:rRNA from 1 species